GGUAAGAUGGCUGAGUCCUAAGCGGCGGAUUGUAGCUCCGUAGAGAGAGGUUAAAAAGCCUCUUCUUAUCA
rnacentral:tRNA from 1 species